rnacentral:rRNA from 1 species
GUGACUUACGGGACGCAGCAGUGGGGAAUAUUGCACAAUGGGGGGAACCCUGAUGCAGCGACGCCGCGUGAGUGAAGAAGUAUUUCGGUAUGUAAAGCUCUAUCAGCAGGGAAGAAAAUGACGGUACCUGACUAAGAAGCCCCGGCUAACUACGUGCCAGCAGCCGCGGUAAUACGUAGGGGGCAAGCGUUAUCCGGAUUUACUGGGUGUAAAGGGAGCGUAGACGGCAUAGCAAGUCUGAUGUGAAAGAUCGGGGCUCAACCCCGGGCUUGCAUUGGAAACUGUUAAGCUGGAGUACAGGAGAG